AUUGAACGCUGGCGGCAGGCCUAACACAUGCAAGUCGAACGGUAACAGGAAGCAGCUUGCUGCUUCGCUGACGAGUGGCGGACGGGUGAGUAAUGUCUGGGAAGCUGCCUGAUGGAGGGGGAUAACUACUGGAAACGGUAGCUAAUACCGCAUAAUGUCGCAAGACCAAAGAGGGGGACCUUCGGGCCUCUUGCCAUCGGAUGUGCCCAGAUGGGAUUAGCUUGUUGGUGGGGUAACGGCUCACCAAGGCGACGAUCCCUAGCUGGUCUGAGAGGAUGACCAGCCACACUGGAACUGAGACACGGUCCAGACUCCUACGGGAGGCAGCAGUGGGGAAUAUUGCACAAUGGGCGCAAGCCUGAUGCAGCCAUGCCACGUGUAUGAAGAAGGCCUUCGGGUUGUAAAGUACUUUCAGCGGGGAGGAAGGGAGUAAAGUUAAUACCUUUGCUCAUUGACGUUACCCGCAGAAGAAGCACCGGCUAACUCCGUG
rnacentral:rRNA from 1 species